rnacentral:tRNA from 1 species
GGAGAAGUACUCAAGUAGGCUGAAGAGGACGGUUUGCUAAACCGUUAGAUCGGAUUAUACCGGUGCGCGGGUUCGAAUCCCGCCUUCUCCGCCA